rnacentral:lncRNA from 1 species
NAAAAAGUUCAAACUACCCCUAUUUGAAAAGAUUUUGGGUUCGGGGGUUAGUUACACAAAGGGAAGGUAUUAGCACCCUUUAUGUCCGUAGUACUCUACGGGAACCUCUUGGUUUUAUUUAAUUUAAUGUGCUAUAACUUUUUUGCUUUUGAAAAGAAGGAAUUAAUGUGAUGAAAAGGAAUAUAAAGUGAGACCUAAUUUAUCUACAUUUUUAUUGUUUGGAAGGACAUGGUCCUCUGCCUACGUACCCGUGAAGGAUCAAAACCUCGUAUUUCGGGGUAGAAAUUGAAGUUUGAUUGGUUGUGUGUUUUUUAUUAGUUUUGAAAAAGGUUUUAAAAGGAAAAGCCAAAUGGCAAAAUAAAUUUGUUUGUGUUUUUUAUGUUAAAAGAAAAUGACUUAAAGUAUGAUUAAAGUUGAUUGCAAUUUGAUUUAUGAAAGAAAUAAAAUAAAAGACGAUCACUUGAUUUGGAUCAAGGUUUAUUGUGAAAAAUGUUUUUUGUGAUUUUUGUUAUUUGCAUGUUUUUUGUUGUUUUUGAAUAAUGGCUAAACU